rnacentral:rRNA from 1 species
AUUGAACGCUGGCGGAAUGCUUUACACACGCAAGUCGAACGGUAGAGGGGGCAACCCCUCGAGAGUGGCGAACGGGUGAGUAAUAUAUCGGAACGUGCCCAGUCGUGGGGGAUAACGUAGCGAAAGUUACGCUAAUACCGCAUACGAUCUAAGGAUGAAAGCGGGGGAUCGCAAGACCUCGCGCGCUUGGAGCGGCCGAUAUCAGAUUAGGUAGUUGGUGGGGUAAAGGCUCACCAAGCCAACGAUCUGUAGCUGGUCUGAGAGGACGACCAGCCACCCUGGAACUGAGACACGGUCCAGACUCCUACGGGAGGCAGCAGUGGGGAAUUUUGGACAAUGGACGCAAGUCUGAUCCAGCCAUGCCGCGUGCGGGAAGAAGGCCUUCGGGUUGUAAACCGCUUUUGUCAGGGAAGAAAAGGUUCUGGCUAAUACCUGGGACUCAUGACGGAACCUGAAGAAUAAGCACCGGCUAACUACGUGCCAGCCGCCGCCGUAAAAC